AUAGAAGCUGUUGUGAUUGAGUGUGUGUGUGUGUGUGUGUGUUUGUGUGUGUGUGGAUGAAUGGAUUGAUGCAUUCACAGACACAGCAAUCAGCUUAUUGGGGGUGAACUGGGAGCACAGUGCUGCAGAGGUGGGACAGAGGAGAUGGCAACAGGGAGGGCUUCAUCCUGAGCCCUAUACAACAAAUCAGUUUUGAGGAGUUAGCAAGUCUAAGGGCUGGGAUGCAAGUGAGAUGUUUAACUAGUAGACAUACAGAAUCAAUUCCACCAAUGGCUUCCUCUCCGUGUACAUAGACACCUGCCUCGGAUGAAGGAGACUGAGGGCAACCCCCCAGUAACAUCAUCUUGUCUCACUGAAAAACAAUGGAGGCAAGACUGAGGAGUACAAGUGCAAUACCAUGGUCCAAGAGAGAGAGGCGACAUGAAUGAAAUGUUGUGGAUGGAGCAUUCCAAUUGGUACCUUUCAGGUUGCUCAAACCGUUGGUAUGAUUUCAAGGAGGACAAUCACAUAUAUUUGCGAGAAUAGGAUCACUGGUUCAAGCACAGUGUGGGACAGGGAAGGAAGAUAUACUGUUUUUGCAUUAAUGCUACGCACCUGAUUCAAAUCAUCAAGAUAAGUUGAUCAUUUGAAUUGGCUGUGUAGUGCUACUGCAAAAAGAAAAAUGUGCAACCCUUUGUAUCCCCAGGUCCAGGAUUAAGAAAUGCUGUUCUAUCUAGACUAAUCAAAUUCCCCACCUCACCUCUCCCUGGCUACUGUCUGUAGAUAUGAUCCAAUUCUGUGAAUUCAUUGACUAUACUUCAAUGAAUGUUUGUUACGUGUACCUAUUCGCUUUCUUUGCCGGCAACAAGCAUGUACAGUGUUUCUUUUUCCACAUUUUGUUUUUUUACAGCCUGAAUUUUAAAUGGUUUAAAUUGAGAUUUUUGUUCACUGGCCAAAAUAAUCUAAUGUCCCUCAGUCGAGAAGUGAAUUUCAAACACAGAUUCAACCACAAAGACCAGGGAGAUUUUCCAAUGCCUCACAAAGAAGAUGGGUAAAUAUUUAAAAAAGCAGACAUUGAAUAUCCCUUUGAGCAUGGUGAAGUUAUUAAUUAGACUUUAGAUGGUGUAUCAAUACAGCCGGUCAAUACAAAGAUACAGGUGUCUUUUCUAUCUCAGUUGCCGGAGAGGAAAGAAACUGCUCAGGGAUUUCACCAAGUGGCCAAUGGUGACUUUAAAACAGUUACAGAAUUUAAUGGCUGUGAUUGGAGAAAACUGAGGCUGGAUCAACAACAUUGUAGUUACUCCACAAUACUAACCUAAUUGAGUGAAAAGAAGGAAGCCUGUACAGAAUAAAAAUAUUGCAAAACAUGCAUCCUGUUUACAACAAGGCACUAAAGUAAUACUGCAAACAAAUGUGGCAAAGAAAUUAACUUUUUGUCCUGAUUACAAAUUGUUAUGUUUGGGGCAAAUCCAAUAUAACACAUUACUGAGUACCACUCUCCAUAUUUUCAAGCAUAGUGGUGGCUGCAUCAUGUUAUGGGUAUGUUUGUAAUUG
rnacentral:lncRNA from 1 species